AAGUCGGUUCCCGCGGAUUUCAAGAUGGAGUCUUCGGAUACGGGAACCGUGUGUUGGAUUUCUCCUGUAGAGAAUAAACCAAUCAAAGUUACAAAAUGGAAAGUAAAGAAAGGAUCAAAGGUUGGGAAAGGAGGGCUUCUUUGCUUGUAUGAAACGGAUGACAAGAAAAAUUUGAAAUUGAAAUCAAACAUGGUUGGAACCGUUUUGGAACUGAAAGACGAGUAUACUCCUGGAAGGUUGUUGCAAAGUGUUUUUGAACUCUUAAUGAAGUAAACAUAAAAAAUGUUCAAAUGUCAAAUAAUAUAUUUUUAAAAAUUUUCCGAAGAGUCUUGUUAGUAAGUAAAACAUCAUCUCGGCUAUGUAUGAUAUGAUCCAGCCUUUUACUGUUUACUACAGUUCGUCUAGAAUAAUCGGAUAUCAUAUACUAUGUACGACCAAUUUUUCAGUGACGGUCUGGUGAAGAUGGAGUCAUGCACUCAUCCUACAGUGAUGAAGGAUAUGUGUGCUGAUUGUGGGGCUGACUUGAGAAAGGAAGCAGGAAUUGCUGGUAAUAGAAAGGAACCUGUCAGUGCUUCAGUUGCCAUGGUGCACAACAUUCCAGAACUUAUCAUCAGUGAAAAGCAAGCCUUGGAACUAGGGAAGAUGGAUGAGGAAAGACUGUUAAGGACCAGGAAGCUUGUUUUACUGGUGGAUCUGGAUCAGACUUUGAUUCACACCACCAACGACAACAUCCCUCCAAACCUUAAGGAUGUGUACCAUUUCCAACUUAGUCAUGGGAAUAUGAUGCCAUGGUACCAUACCCGUAUUCGUCCAAGGACAGAAAAAUUCUUGGAAAAUGUUUCCAAACUGUAUGAGCUACACAUCUGUACAUUUGGGUCUCGUAUGUAUGCCCACAUCAUCGCCAAAUUCCUGGAUCCAGAUGGCAAAUACUUCUCGCACAGAAUUCUAUCUAGAGAUGAAUGCUUCAACCAAAACUCCAAAAUGGCCAAUCUAAAAGCUCUGUUUCCAUGUGGCGAUUCCAUGGUGUGUAUCAUAGAUGAUCGAGAAGAUGUCUGGAAUUUCUCACCAAACUUAAUCCACGUAAAGCCCUACCGUUUCUUCCAAGGCACAGCAGACAUCAACGCUCCACCGGGAUUAGAUAAAACGGAGCAUGACAAAGAACCUCUCACUCACAAAGUACACGUUGUCUCGAGAUCAAACAGCAAGGAGGAUAAAACUGAGGUGGAAAAGAUGGAGGGGAGUGAAGAGCAGAAACCAGAGGCAGCAAUAAAUGAAACCACACAAAAUGAUAGUAAGAGGGAAGAGGAGAGUGCAAAGGAGACUGAAGAGGUAAAUGGAAAGGAGGACAGUAAAGAAGAAACCAAAGAUAGUUCUAAUAUUCCAGAAGAUAGUGAGGAGAAAAAAGAUUCAAAUGAAACUAAGGAUAAAAUCAAAGAAGAUGAGCAAUCUGAGAAACCAUGCUCCAAAAGAAAGGAGGAAAAUGACAAAGAUGAUAAAGGGGUUGAAAAAUCUGAUUCAGAGAAAGAUAAGAAAGAUGGAGAGAAUGAAAUUAAAAGUGAUAAAGAAAAAGAGGGAGCCAACACAGAGGAUUCAAAGAAAGAGGAAGUGGAAAUUGAAUGGGAUGAUGAUGAUGACUAUUUACUUUACCUGGAGGAUAUUUUGGGCACAGUUCACAAGGCAUUUUAUGAUAUGUAUGAUCAGCUGAAAUCGAAAGGGGAGGAUGCUGAAAAACCUGACAUGAAAAAUAUCUUACCAUAUGUUAAAAGAAAAGUGCUGAAAGGAACAAACCUGUUAUUUAGCGGCGUGUUCCCCAUGAAUGUACCUUUGGAGAAAAGUCGAGCCUAUCAUGUAGCUAAAAUGCUAGGUGCAAAUGUUCAUUCAGACUUUGUUGCCCGUGCAAAAGAUGGUUCAAAUAAAUCAGAAUAUACAACUCAUGUGGUGGCAGCUAGACAAGGGACAAUCAAGGUCAAAUUGGCUCAGAAACAUAAACAUGUGAAAUUAGUGAAUCCCCAAUGGCUUUGGACUUGCGCAGAAAGACUUCAGCAUGUGGAUGAAAGGCUUUAUCCACUAAAUGAUUCCACUUCAGGUAAUCUUUACUGUGAAAGUCCAGAUACUGUACGCCUAAAUAGGAAACGUAAAAAUGAAGAGGAAUUGGAAACUGGUAAAAGACAAAGGCAGAAUGAAGAUGAAGAAAAAUCGGCAGCUGAAGAAGAAAUGGAAGUUUCAGACAUCCAGAGAAAUGAAGCAGGAAAGUCUGAGGAGGGACCAUCUGCUGCUAAAAUUGGAUCUAAUCGCUUUUCUACCACAUAUAAUCCUAUGUUGGCAUUCUCAGAUGAGGACUUGGAAUGCAUGGACAAAGAAGUAGAGGAUUUCAUGGAUGAAGAAGGAGAUGAAUCUGAGGAAGAUGACAUAGACAGGAACGAAAGAAUCCGUCUGUCUGUUCUAAGCAGUGGAGAUGAUGAUAAUGAUGGCAGCAGCGAAGACAGCAUGUCGGGAGAGUUCCCCAGAGGCUGGAAUCUCAAAAAGAGGCUCCGUUCCUCAAAGUCUGCAGAAAGUAGUUCUGAUAAUGAAGAGCAAAAAGAUCGGAGGGAUGAGGAAAGUGAAAAUGAACUUGAGAAAUAUGAAAAAACAAUGGAAGCAUUUGCUCCAGAUACUGAAUCAGAAACACAAGAUUCUUUUGCCGAGUCCAUAGGGUCUGUGGAUGAUGAAAUGGCCGAAGCCGUAGAAAGAGAAUUUCUUGCAAAUUAAUAUUUUUGUUAUUAUUGUUAGAUAUUAAAAUAUUUUUUAUGAC
rnacentral:misc_RNA from 1 species